rnacentral:rRNA from 1 species
UAAUACAGAGGGUGCAAGCGUUAAUCGGAGUUACUGGGCGUAAAGGGCGCGUAGGUGGUUGUGUAAGUUGGAUGUGAAAUCCCUGGGCUUAACCUAGGAACUGCAUACAAUACUGCAUAGCUAGAGUACUGUAGAGGGUAGUGGAAUUUCCGGUGUAGCGGUGAAAUGCGUAGAGAUCGGAAGGAACACCAGUGGCGAAGGCGGCUACCUGGACAGAUACUGACACUGAGGCGCGAGAGCGUGGGGAGCAAACAGGAUUAGAUACCCUGGUAGUCCACGCUGUAAACGAUGAAAACUAGAUGUUGGUAGGCUUGACCUAUUAGUAUCGAAGCUAACGCGAUAAGUUUUCCGCCUGGGGAGUACGGCCGCAAGGUUA